GACGAACCGUCCUAACGUUGUUCGGAUUCACUGGGCUUAAAGGGCGCGUAGGCGGGCCGCCAAGUCCGAGGUGAAAUCCUCCGGCUCAACCGGAGAACUGCCUCGGAUACUGGAGGUCUCGAGGGUGGUAGGGGCACGCGGAACUGUGGGUGGAGCGGUGAAAUGCGUUGAUAUCCACAGGAACACCUGAGGCGAAGGCGGGUUGCUAGGCUGACACUGACGCUGAGGCGCGAAAGCCAGGGGAGCAAACGGG
rnacentral:rRNA from 1 species